CGAUGAAGCUCUUGCUUGCAAGAGUGGAUUAGUGGCGCACGGGUGAGUAAUGUAUAGCUAACCUGCCCCUUAGAGGGGGACAACAGAUGGAAACGUCUGCUAAUACCCCAUACUCCAUAUAGGCUAAAGUCUGUAUGGGAAAACUCAGGUGCUAAGGGAUGGGGCUGUAUUGUAUCAGCUAGUUGGUGGGGUAAUGGCCUACCAAGGCGAUGACGCAUAGCUGGUCUGAGAGGAUGAUCAGCCACACUGGAACUGAGACACGGUCCAGACUCCUACGGGAGGCAGCAGUGGGGAAUAUUGCACAAUGGGGGAAACCCUGAUGCAGCAACGCCGCGUGGAGGAUGACGCAUUUCGGUGUGUAAACUCCUUUUAUCGGUCAAGAAAAUGACGGUAGCCGAUGAAUAAGCACCGGCUAACUCCGUGCCA
rnacentral:rRNA from 1 species